rnacentral:tRNA from 1 species
GCUGGUGUAGCUCAGUUGGUAGAGCAUCGGUUUUGUACUCCGAGGGUCGCGGGUUCGAGCCCUGUCACCAGCUCCA